rnacentral:misc_RNA from 1 species
AACCAUUCUCACCUGCGGCUAGACCUGCGGAAGGAUCAUUACCGAGUUAGGGUAGUUAUUCACUGCCCGACCUCCCAACCCUGUGUCUACCACACCUUGUCGUUGCUUCGGCGGACCGGUCGACCAACUGGUCGUGACCGCCGGGGCUGGCUCUGUCCCCCCUGGAGAGCGUCCGCCGAUGGCCCAACCACAAACUCUUGUACCGAAACGUGUCGUCUGAAUAAUUGAGAAAUCAAAUAU